rnacentral:lncRNA from 1 species
UGGCUGUUCUCAUCACCGUCCUCAGAUGGAUCCUCGCAUGGAUCUUACGCUACCGAUCCAGAUCUAGAUCCACCGCUUCAUCUUCCUCCUCUUCCGCUUGUCCCGCGAUUUCUUCGCAAGCGAUCAAAGAGAGCCUCUCCGUGACGACGUUCCGUGACGCCUCCGAGAGAUCUCCGGCGAUGAUCAGCGAUACAUGCGCGGUGUGUCUCGGAGAUCUGGAAGAUGGAGAUGAGGUUAGAGAACUGAGGAACUGUAGCCAUAUGUUUCACCGUGAGUGUAUCGACCGGUGGUUGGAUUACGAAUGUUGCGGAGGAGAUGAGAACAACGAAGGUGAGGAGGAUAACCACCGGACGUGUCCUCUUUGUAGAACUCCGCUUCUUCCUGCUAAUACGACGUCGUGUGGUGAUUGGCCGGCUAAGAACGAACCUAGCUGGGCUGUUGAACGCCUUCUUUACCUCUUCGGAGAUGAUCUUCUCGUCUGAUUUUUCAAAUUUGUUUUUUUUUCUUUUGUUCCAAAUUUUUAUUUGAUUUUAUUUUAUUUUAGUGGGAUCGAUUGAUCGAUAGGAAUUACAUAGUGGUCAAUUUUGUAAAUUGGGGGAUUUAAUGGUUUAAUCUAGGAAAUAUAAUAAAAGGUUAUAUCAGUUUUUUUCUGAUUUCAUUAGUUUGAUACUAAUAAUGCUUUUCACGGCCAAUUUCGAACCUUGAGACAUUUCUACUUGGCAAGUGAUUCUGAGCUCAAAUGAAAACUAUUUACGAAAGACCAAGAACAAUCCAAAUGUUUUUUUAUACAAAAUAAAUUUCAUCAAUGCUCAGUUACUCUCAGAUACUGAGAGAUACAGAUAUGACUCACACUCACUUGCUAGAAAAUUUAGUAUAAACUUUGGCUUUUCGGAUUUCAUAAAAUGCAAAUUUGUGAUCGUGGUUCGUAUUAGCUCUAACGAACAAAUUUAAAGUCUAGAUGUAAAAGUACUCAAAGUAAAAUCAUGAUAUUUAAAAUUCAUGCUUGUGAAAUUAUACAUAGGCCAAAAAAAGGAAAAAAAUAGAGAGGGGAGAAGCAAAUGAAGCACAGUCGUUUUGAUGAGUAGGUCGGCUAUGGAGAAAUUAAAAAAAAAAAAAAAAAAAAUUGAUUUUCUUAAUUUGGGGGAUUUUUUUUCAUAGAGGAGGAGCUGGUUCGUUUCUAACAAAAUAUCAUCUUUUCGAUGGCAGCGAUACAGAUGCUCGAUCAGGUUGAUGAUUCCGCUGAUUCACUGAUGCAAUCCGUUCGCGAGGUUCAAACGAAGAUGGCUCUGCUUCACUCCACUGUUGGUGAGCUACUCUGUUCCAUGUCUGAGACCCUAAAUUCACUGACGGAGAUGAAGGACGCUCUUCUUUACCAACCCACAGCUCCCGCACCGUCGGAAUCGAAAGUUACGGUGGAUCAGGACCUCCCUGUAGCACCCCCUCCUCCUCCUACGACCGCGCCGGUGGUGGAUAACUCAACCAACGAGCACCCCUUGGCUCGCUACGUAAAGGUGAGGAAGACCAGGAUCGAGAUGCCAGUGUUUGAAGGUACCAAUGUUAACUCGUGGCUCUUCCGAGCGGAACGAUACUUCGAGUUCGGGAGUUUCACGGAGACGGAGAAGAUCCGGUUAGCUUAUAUGAGUGUCGAAGGUCCCGCUUUGUGUUGGUUUAGCCUUGAGGAUCGUGAACCUUUUCUAGAUUGGAACGAUUUCAAAACUAGGGUUUUACAGAGGUUUGGGGAUCCCAUAUCUCCAUUUGAACGUUUACUCUCACUCAAACAGGAUGAAUCUGUUAUACGCUACCUUGGUGAAUUCGAGGAUCUCUCCACGCAAUGUUCGGGUCUCUCUGAUUCUGUUCUUGGGUCCUUAUUCGUCAAAGGGCUUAAGGUUGAGAUUCAGGAUAUGCUCCGCGUGUUUCAACCGAAGGGGUUGAGAGAUAUCAUCAUGAUGGCUCGUAGGUUGGAGAAUAGUCCUUUUUGCCGUGUGAUGAACCCACCACUUACGGAUUCUGAGUUUGAAGAUCUGUGUCUCCGCAGGAAGAACUACAACACUUAGAUUCUUACCCUUUUUUGGUGCUUUUGAGUGGCUUGUCUUCUGUGAAUAGGUAAGCUCUGUUAGAUUCUUGUAGUCAUCUUCUAGGCUCUAGCAUCGAGUGUUAUGUCAAAGGAACACAUUUUCUAUUCCCUGGCUUGCUUGAAGAUGGUGUUUCAUCUUUCAUGGAUUCAUACAAUUAAAGUCAGGGUUUUUAUCUAAUCUUUAUUGGCUCCCACCAAUUCUUACAAUUAAAUUGUUUCUUUUGGGCUAUCUUUUGUGGUUAUCUUGGUUGAAUAUGAAAACGUAAUUACAUAUCUUUACAAGAAUAUACCAGGUUAGGGACUUGCCAUCAUAUAGUAAUUUGGGAGAUUCCAUUGGAUUAAUAAAAAAAAGGUUGUAAACUUUCUUCUAAAUAUUCUCUAAGAAAGAAACUGCAAAGGUUGUCUCCAUCUCAUGUACUCCAUCCCUUUCUUCUUCCGUCUCCCUCUUAUUAUUAAGCCUCAAUGAUUACUCAUCAUCAUGUGUAAGUGACAAUUAUUAUGUUUUUAUAGUAUGCUUGGAUGGUUUAAAUUGAGGUUUACCUCCAAUGGAAUCAAGUUCCUUAUUGAACCACCAUCACAAAUACCUUUCCU